CGGGCAGGUGGUCCGUUAAGUCGUCUGUGAAAACCCGGGGCUCAACCCGUGGAAUGCAGGCGAAACUGGCGGACUAGAGAUCGGUAGAGGCUAACGGAAUUCCUGGUGUAGCGGUGGAAUGCGUAGAUAUCAGGAAGAACACCAGUGGCGAAGGCGGUUAGCUGGGCCGAGUCUGACACUCAUCCGCGAAAGCGUGGGGAGCAAACAGGAUUAGAUACCCUGGUAGUCC
rnacentral:rRNA from 1 species